rnacentral:lncRNA from 1 species
AUGGCACUUAUCAGAAUGGGUUGUUACACUGCACUCAUUGCUCUUCUGUUUAUCCUUCACACUGUAAAUGGACAGACUACUACAGCAAUUCCACCAUCGAGCACUACUGGUCCACCAUUGAGCUCAGCAGCCCCACAGUCAAGUGGGACUCCUGUCCCACAAACGAGCUCAAAUUAUCCACUGUCAAGCUCAAGAGCCACUUCAUCCUCAACAACUUCACCAUCAGAUACAACAGCUUCAUCAGUUGGUAUAACACCCUCGUCAACAAAUGUUACACCCUCACUGAUUGGUGCCUCAUCUCCAGUGUCAAACACAGACAACCCUACAUCUAUUGCAACAACUAAAGCAUCAAGUUUGACGCCUCAACAGCCAAAUGCAACAGCUCUGCCAUCAAAUGUAACAACUCCAUCUACCAAUACAAGCUCUCAGAGUGCAUGGACAACUCUGGCCACUACAAGCAGGUCAUUCAAUACCACUCAAUAUCACUUGGGCAAUUUGUCGACACCAUUUCCUGGGAUUAGUGGAACUAGCCCAGUUCCUCUGGUGGCUUCAAGGAGAUGUUCUUCAAAUCCACCUCUGUGUUGUCUUGGGCUCAACAGUUCCUGUUUCAGAGGGUGCUUCUGUGAUGUGGCCUGUAUAAGGUUGAAAGAUUGCUGCCCAGACUUCCGGACUACUUGUGUGACAGGUUUGCAGAUUGGAUCAGCCACGGUGUCCCCAGUCUCCAAUGCAACCAAUGCAACCAACGCAACCAAUGCAACCAACGCAACCAAUGCAACCAACGCAACCAAUGCAACCAACGCAACCAACGCAACCAAUUCCACUUCCACAUCAUUCCCAGUGUUCUUAUUUCCAGGAAAUUGUUCUGCACGGCCGGCCUUGUGCUGUAAAGGCAGCAACGUGAACUGCUUCAGAGGGUGCUUCUGUGACGAGGUUUGUCAGACUCUAAAUGACUGCUGUCCUGACUAUGCAGAUACCUGCACAAAAGACAUUCAGAAGGUGAUUGGUAGUGGAAAGAUAUCCAUUCUUGCUCCACCCAAUUCAACUGAUGCUUCUCUUGAAGUGUCUAUUCAGAAUGCUGCAUUACAGCUGCAGGCCUAUCUCAAGGCAACAUACACUGAAAUCAGCUCCUUCAGAAUCAUCAAACUGAAGAAGACCGGAAAGACUUAAUUUGUAAAUCUGCUCAAACACAUCAGAAAUAUGAAAUUAGGUUGCAUAUUUCUUUCUCUCUGUGUGAUGAAACUAAACAUAAUUGAUUAAAUUACAACAUGAAGCACUUGUAAUAGAUACUUCUAAUGUAUAUCUGGUUUGACGGGUACUAUGUGGGAGAACAAUAAUAUGUUCAUUGUAUUGGUCGCAUACACAUAUUUAGCAGGUGUUAUUGUGGGUGUAGUGAAAUGCUUGUGUACAGAGAAAUGCUUUGCACGGCUGUCUGUGAAUGAGAUGUGUCUUUAAUGUAAUUUCUCAAAUAAAUUGUCAGACUUAUAGGACUAAACAUUGAACAUGAAAUGAAUCAUACAAUAAUGUUCCUCCCUGAACAAGCAGGAAGUUGCCAGUAGAGGUCAUAGUAACCCAGUUUUCCAUUGCAUGAUGCCUUCCUUGCCUUUCUCCUGUAUAGAAUAAACCACCUUUCUUGAUCUGGGUAGCGUCUCUGGUUUUACCAGCAGAGGUCCCCACUCCCCACUGUACAGUAGUGGACAUUUUUAAUAUGCCUAAAAAUGGCUUCUCAUCUCAAUAUCCUGAAACUCUAGGACACCACCAAUGUCUGAAUGUUAAUGUUACAAUUCAAUAACUCAGAGUUCAAUUAUUAAUUUACCUUUGUAUCCAGGGAUAUUUGUGUUGUGUUUGUCUCCACUGACAGUGUCUGUCACAUUUGCCCAGUGGGCCUAUAUUGACACAAACCUAAUGCAAUUCAAUUGGUUAAUUUCAUUGAUCACAUUACACACUCAUUGUAUUUGUCUCUCGUGAAGGAAUGUAAGGAUCUAGUCAUGUAUCAUCACCUACUAUCCUAAACCAUCAUGGUUACAAUCUUCCUGCUCCUUAAAACAGAUGAUUAUAGUGCAAUAAUGUGCAUAAUGCUUUUAGUGAUGAAGACAUAGACCGUUAAUGUUGCCAUAAUGAAAGACAGGACUAACGGAAAAGGUGUGUGACGGAGACUCAUGCUGUCUGUCGCGCGUGUGAUGGAGAGAAAAUUAGAUAGAAAGUGGUAUCUAAGAUAUUUAGUUGGUAGGAACAUCGGGGAAUAGAUCAGAUAAAACAAAAGUCAAGAAGUAAACAAAGCAAGUGUUUAACAAUUCAACUGUAGCGCUAUUAUGUGAUCGUGCAUUUGAGAGAGGAGGAAGGGAGGGGCUAGAGACCAGGAACGUACUGAAUUGGAUGACACCGUGCGGGCGCAAGAAUAACAUAUAAUGGAAUUAAAGGAAAAUUAGAUAUUCUGAUUAAUCAAAAUUGUUUUUUCUUUUUUGGAAUACAAAUCUGUCGGCUUGAAGCUUAUAUUUUCGAGGUUGGACAUCUACUUUAGCCUGCAAGUAUCGGACAUUUUACUAUGAUGCGGGGCCCUCGCUGUGCAAUGAUAAAGGCUCGACAGUAGCCUUGGACAAUGUGUUCAAAACGUCUGAUGUGUAUUUUGCCGAGGAGAUCCUGUUAGAAUAUGGCCAAAUCUAUAGGAAGGUGUCGGUGUGCUUCUAAUCGAAAUAACGCGCUCUUCCGAGCUGAUCCAUUCGAAAUUGGGCGAUUGUAAUUGUAUAGGUCAUCUCUCCAUCCUUGUCUGGUAUGUGGCCGCCGAUGAUGCCUCUUUUUCUUUAAAGAACAGCUGAUAUAAUGUGGACUAGGCAGUGUGUAGCCAAAUGUUUAUGCAUUAUUAUCACAGUGUAGGCUGUAUGAGAUAUCGAUCUAUUAUGGUAGUGUGUUGUAGGCUAACUGAUCAGCUUGCACAAUAUAAAUAAGAGCAACCAUGACAGUAAUGAAUUAUGAUAAAACAUGCAUUAUUAUUAUUUAUUAAUUAUUAUUUAUUAGCAGCAGGCGUUGUG